rnacentral:lncRNA from 1 species
CUUUGGUAAAUCUUCUAUUCCUUCCUUUAUAAGAGUCUCAUGAUCCUCCAGGAGGCCCUCUUCAGCUUCUGAAUUCUUACUUUUUUCUAGUCUUACUCCUCCAACCUAGCCUCCACUUUGACAACAAAUGCCUUUCAGUAAGAUCAAGGGUAGGCAGGAGAGGGAUGAGAUAAUAUUUAAGAGACUGUCCUGAGCUUCAGGACAAAAUCACUAGGGUGAACUGUCCACCUUGGAUUUCAUUCUGCCUUCUCUCUUGAAAUAAUCAUGCUCAAACUUGUGCAUGCAAACAAUGCACAAGUUUGCACAUUUCCUCCCAAGCUGAUCCCUCUGCCUAGAAUGUCCUGCCUUUAACUAUUUGUUCAUAAGUACUCAGCCUGUGAGGCUGACCACCAAAGUU